UGGGGAAUAUUGGACAAUGGGCGAAAGCCUGAUCCAGCCAUGCCGCGUGAGUGAUGAAGGCCUUAGGGUUGUAAAGCUCUUUCAGUAGGGAAGAUAAUGACGGUACCCGCAGAAUAAGCCCCGGCUAACUUCGUGCCAGCAGCCGCGGUAAGACGAAGGGGGCUAGCGUUGUUCGGAAUUACUGGGCGUAAAGCGCGUGUAGGCGGUUGCCCAAGUCGGGUGUGAAAGCCUUGAGCUCAACUCAAGAAAUGCACUCGGUACUGGGUGACUAGAGGACCGGAGAGGAUAGUGGAAUUCCCAGUGUAGUGGUGAAAUACGUAGAGAUUGGGAAGAACACCAGUGGCGAAGGCGGCUAUCUGGACGGUUUCUGACGCUAAGACGCGAAAGCGUGGGGAGCAAA
rnacentral:rRNA from 1 species